rnacentral:lncRNA from 1 species
AAUAACCAUCAUUGACUAUAUAUCUAUAGUUUCCGGACUUCGGUACUGUAGUCUUGUUUUCGAUUUUAGGGUAUUCGAAUCAACGACCCAUACCGUUAAAAUUAAUUUAGGGCAUUUGAAGUUCUUAGAAAUAAAAUUUUAUAUUUUUUUGACGAAGUUUAUUUUAUGACUAAACUAUUUUAAAAUUGUUAAUUGUCAAUGAUUGCUAUGACUAGUUCGAGUUUAACGAUGUAGAAGAAUCUCGAUUUAUUUAAAUUUUGAUAAAAAAAAAAUAUUUUUAAACUAUCUAGAUCAAGAUCAGCAUUUUUAAUCUUGAAUUAAAAAGUCCUAUCCUCAAAUUUUAAAUAUUGUUCAAUUUUCAUCGUUCAUUUGACAUAAUUUACAUACUAAAUAAACGAUGUUGGAAAAAUUAAAAUUUUAUUCUUAAAAACUUUAUAUACGCUAGAUCAUAUUUAUAUAAUAAUAUGGGUUAUCGAUAACGAAACUAUAGUAGCGAUGCUUCGAUACUAUAAAUAGUAU